AUGGGAGGAGAGCAACCAGAAGGACGGAAGCAUCUGCGUCACGUUACGACACUUUCUUUUUCCCCCCUUUCUUUAUUUAAAGGGAAACGACACUAAAUAUGCUCUGAUCAGGAUUUAGAUUCGAUUUUUUUAUUCGUCACAUGAACAUACAGUAUUGCAGUGAAAUGCAGUGACUGUCCACCAGGCUUUAAAAUACAAAAUGCUAAAACAGGUAAAAAUAUAAAACACACAAAAUAAAUAAAUAAAACAAAUAAUACAACUGAUACAAAAGAUAGAAAUACACUACCAUUCAAAUGUUUGAGGUCAUUUAGAAAUGUCCUUAUUUUUGGAAAGAAAAGCAUUUGUAUUUCAAUGAAGAUAACAUUAAAUAAUCAGAAAUCCAGUCCAGACAUUGUUAAUGUGGUAAAUGACUCUUCUAGCUUGAAACAACUGAUUUUUAACCCUCCUGUUGUCCUCAUUUACAGGCACCAAAAAAAUUGGUUCCUUGUCUGAAAAAAAAGUCCAAAAAUUCAGGAAAAAAAAUCCCUGUAUUUGAGAAAAAUUGCAAAACUUUCACAGAGAAAAUUCCAAUAAUUCCUGAAAAGUUUCCUUUAAAAGUUUUAUUUUAAAAAAUCCCCCAAAUUUGGCAUAACAAUUCUUGCAAAUAUUUUCAAAAAAUGACUAAAAAUCUUCCAAAAAAUGAAUAAAAAAUAUCUAAAAUGAUUACAUACACACACACACACACACACACACACACACACACACACACACACACACACACACACACACACACACACACACACACACACACACACACACACACACACAUAUAUUACUAAAACUGCUAAUAUUUUCUUUGCAAACAUUCACAAAAAGUCAACCAAAAUGUAAAAUUUGUUAGAUUUUGAUUGAUUUUUUUGUAAAUGUUCUUAAACAUUUUUAACAUUUCUUUUCUCCCCACCAAACAGUUUCAAAAAAUUUCCCAAAAAUGUUGAAAAUGUGGACAUCACAUUUUCAAACUUUAAAACGGGUCAGUUUGACCCGCAGGACGACAUGAGGGUUAAUGGAAUAUCUCCAUAGGGGUACAGAGGAACAUUUCCAACAACCAUCACUCCUGUGUUCUAAUGCUACAUUGUGUUAGAUAAUGCUGUUGAAAUUCUCAUUGAUGAUUAGAAAACCCUUGUACCGUUUGAUUUAGCACGUGGAUAAAAAUGUGAGUUUUCAUGGAAAACAUGAAAUUGUCUGGGUGACCCCAAACUUUUCAAUGGUAGUGUAGGUAAAAACCAAACAGGUAAAAAUUGUAAUAUUUAUGUAAAUUUCACAGUGCAAAGGUAGCGGACGUGCAAAAGUGAAGAUGUGCAUUCUGUGUGAUGUAACAAUAUUUCCGGUUGUGUGUUUAUAGUCCUUGUUUGUGAGGUGCUGACUGGAGGUCAGAGUUUGAGGGAAAAAGCUCCUCCUGAGUCUCUCUGUUUGAUAAGAUCAGAUUUACUGUAUCUCUGCUGCUGCCGUCGGACUGAUGGAGCUGAAGGAUCAUUCCAGAACAGGAGGACAUUUGGGCUUCAAAAUGUAUGAAUAACGAACCUUCUCUUUACAGUUUUCUGCUCCAUAUUCAUCAAUAAUAGGUAAUAAACUAUCAAAGGCUUGAUUGGCUCAGCUUACACAUCAAUGGUAGCAUUUUUAUUCCAUGUUUUAUUUGUUGUUUGCUAACCCUACUCUAAUCACAGGGUUGCUAAAACUGCAACAAUAAUACCUUCAUAAAAAUGUGUUAUGUCAAGACUCCAUGGGUUCUUUUUUCUGCUCAGUGCUGCAGCCUGCUGGGAAUAUUAAAGAAGCAUCAAAGACUUAAAAAAAAUGCAUCCAUUCUCCAUUCUCUAUGCACCGCUUUAUCCUCACUAGGGUCCUGGGGGGUGCUGGAGCCUAUUUAUACCUGCAGAAGAGGGACAUUGACAUGGUGUUUGUCAAACGUGCCCUGCAGAACUUCACCAGCAGUGUUCAGGCCAUCAGGGACCAAAGCUUCUCUCAACAGCAGCAGCAAGAGGCACCAGGUUCCACAAGAUCAAGGAGAGCCUUAGGAGAACAAGAGAAGCAGAGGCUGUCAAAAGAGAUCUGUGACAAUCCUGGGCCAUGCCAAAGACAGGUUCUCCUUCACCAGCCACCUUGUGAGUGCCGUGCUGCUAGAGGCAGAGCUGUUUGACCAGCAUCUGAAAACAUUCCCUGAAGAGGCUCUGAAUACCACCGUGAGGGCAUUUCACAUGCUACACAAGGAGAGGCUCAGGACUGAGCUUUCGCUCAUCUACGAAAGUCCAGACUUCAGGGGCUGCUGCGAUGCACUGGCACUGUACCAGGUUCUACAGAGCUACAAUCUCCAGGAAACUUUCUCUGAGACUGUGGCACUAUUAACAUCCUCAUCACCACUCUGAUGACAACAGCUGAAGCUGAGAGGUGUUUCUCCACCUUAAAGAGGAUCAAGACAUUCCUGAGAAAUACAAUGGGACAGGAAGUCAGGAACGUCUGAAUGCAUUGGGAAUGCUUUCCAUGGAGGGAGAGCUUGUCAGGAACAUGCCUGAUUUCAAUGAGAGGGUGAUUGAUCGCUUUGCUUGUUUGAAAGAGAGGCGUGCUGAAUUUCAAUACAAGUGAUGAGUGAGUGUGUUCUUGAAUGGUGAGUUGUGUUAUGUUGUACUCUCCAAAUGUUGAAUUGUUACUAGCUGUAUUCAUUGCAUUUUUCCAGCCAAAUAUAUGACAAAUAUGUUCUCGAAAUCUUGGAUUAAUUGCAGUUUUGAGGAUGGUCCAGAUGGACGCGCUUUGUGCGUACGUGCCAUUACAUGGUACGCAAAAUAUUUCGCCAAGGUUGGCAGGUCUGUUGAUCUGAUGUACGCCAAGCGGGCCUUUGUUCACUGGUAUGUAGGUGAGGAUAUGGAGGAGGGAGAGUUCUCUGAGGCCAGAGAGGACAUGGCAGCUCUGGAGAAGGAUUAUGAGGAGGUGGGAGCUGACAGUGUUGAGGGAGAGGAUGAAGGAGAGGAGUAUUAAAAUGAACAUGAAGGCAUUUAGCAUAAAUUAGGAAAUCAAUCAGUUCCAAGUGUUGUUAAAUAUGUUCCAAAAAGAUGUUUUCUUUGUUUGAGUGUUGAGAAAGUUAUAAUUUCAGUUUGUGUAAAAGACGAGUAUAGAAAGAAACAUGAGCACGAGUUAAACAUGAGUAAUUUAAAGUUCAACUUAAAUACGUUCCAAUAAGAGAUUUUUAUUCGUCGUUUUACUGCUUUUAGUGCUGGUAAAUCAAACUGACAGUGAGGAAGAGGAGCAUUUAAAUGGAUAUGAAGCACUGAUUUCAAGUUCUCUCUUAACUGUGUUCAAAAACUAAAUGUUUCUCUAAUUUCAGUUUUAAGAAAUAGAAAAUGUUUGGAUCAGUUUUAAAUAAAUUUUGUAACCUGAAA